rnacentral:rRNA from 1 species
UAGACACCAAGACAGAUCAUGUUAAAUACCCCUUGACAAAGGCCCGAACUUAAUGACCCCCUGUCCUAAUGUCUUCGGUUGGGGCGACCAUGGGGCAGCACAAAACCCCCAUGUGGACUGGGAGAACAAACCCAAAACCUUUUUCCCACACUCCCACAAGCAAGAGUUACAACUCUAACUAACAGAAUCUCUGACCUCUUACGAUCCGGCUCUCGCCGAUCAACGGACCAAGUUACCCUAGGGAUAACAGCGCAAUCCCCUUUUAGAGCCCAUAUCGACAAGGGGGUUUACGACCUCGAUGUUGGAUCAGGACAUCCUAAUGGUGCAGCCGCUAUUAAG